CAAAUUCUAGGGCUCGACUUCUUAAGCAGACAAAACACUGUAACAACAAAAUCAUGCUCUCCAGUCUCUUUUCAGGAAAAGGCUCUCUGCCAGCUCCCCUGUAGAGAGUGUUUUAGAUGCAUUAUGAGGCCUUUGUAAUGCAUAAUAGUUGACUCAAAAGGUCAGCUAUCAGCAUAUUCAUUAGAAAGACAAUAAAACAAAGGGCAGGAAUUAAAGAUUUGAAGAAUCCUUAAAUUAUAGAGGUGGAUGUAAAUAAAUGAGAUGGAGAAAAGGUAGAACAAGAGAAAGAGUGACACAGAGGUCACUUAAACAUAUUUCAAUAAACAGUAAGACUUGUACUGGAUCCCCCUGAGUAAUCUCUUCCAUGUGAUUCAUUUCUAUCAGAUUCCUUAACUUGUCCCAGUUUAUCAUACAUGGUCACUGUCAUGCCUCAUCCUUCCCUCCCUCCCUCUCUCCCUCCCUCCCUCUCUCUCUCUCCCUCCUCUACCGUCUUUCCCUCCAUCUCUGUAACCAAUCUGUAACCAUACUUGACUUGCAGCCCUUGCAAGAAGCAGACCUCCACAAAAACUCCGGCUCCUCUGUCAAAAUGCCAGACUCUAACGAAGCUGUGCCAGCGCCGUGCCAGGUCAUCAAAGAGGACGUUGACAAAUGUGUCAGAGAGAAGGGAGCAGAGAACUGUAAAGAUCUGGUAGAUGCGUUCCAGGCCUGCGUAAAGACCCUGUCUGAGGGAUCGUGAUACACAAGGAAAUAUGUAAAAUCUUCACUUGAUCAAAAUCCUCCACUUUCCCAGCAUUCCCUUGCAAUGGACCGAACAAUCUGACAAACUGGAGAGGAGCUGAUGCCACUCAUACUAUGUGCACUUACUAUCAAUGUGAAUUUAUUUUUGUACAUUUUACAAUUUCAUUAUGAACUGAAUAUCAAUGCACAUUUUUAUGCA